GAUGAACGCUAGCGGCAGGCCUAACACAUGCAAGUCGAGGGGCAGCACAGAAACAGCAAUGUUUUGGUGGCGACCGGCGGACGGGUGCGUAACGCGUAUGCAACCUACAUUUAACAGGGGGAGAACGGAGAGAAAUGUCCACUAAUACCCCAUAACAUCGAUCAAGGCAUCUUGAUUGGUUGAAAACUCAGGUGGUUAAAGAUGGGCAUGCGUUGUAUUAGGUAGUUGGUGAGGUAAUGGCUCACCAAGCCUACGAUACAUAGGGGGACUGAGAGGUUAGCCCCCCACACUGGUACUGAGACACGGACCAGACUCCUACGGGAGGCAGCAGUGAGGAAUAUUGGUCAAUGGGGGCAACCCUGAACCAGCCAUGCCGCGUGCAGGAAGACGGCUCUAUGAGUUGUAAACUGCUUUUAAACAGGGAUAAAGCACAGUAUGUAUACUGUGUUGAAGGUACUGUAAGAAUAAGGAUCGGCUAACUCCGUGCCAGCCGCCGCCGUAA
rnacentral:rRNA from 1 species